GUGAGUAACACGUGGGCAAUCUGCCCUUCACUCUGGGACAAGCCCUGGAAACGGGGUCUAAUACCGGAUACGACCAUCAGGGGCAUCCCUUGGUGGUGGAAAGCUCCGGCGGUGAAGGAUGAGCCCGCGGCCUAUCAGCUUGUUGGUGAGGUAAUGGCUCACCAAGGCGACGACGGGUAGCCGGCCUGAGAGGGCGACCGGCCACACUGGGACUGAGACACGGCCCAGACUCCUACGGGAGGCAGCAGUGGGGAAUAUUGCACAAUGGGCGAAAGCCUGAUGCAGCGACGCCGCGUGAGGGAUGACGGCCUUCGGGUUGUAAACCUCUUUCAGCAGGGAAGAAGCGAAAGUGACGGUACCUGCAGAAGAAGCGCCGGCUAACUACGUGCCAGCAGCCGCGGUAAUACGUAGGGCGCAAGCGUUGUCCGGAAUUAUUGGGCGUAAAGAGCUCGUAGGCGG
rnacentral:rRNA from 1 species